CACGCGCCGUCGAGCACGGCAAAGUCGGCCGCCGGCAUGACGGCCAGCCGCGCGCGGUACUUUGUGUGCGCAUCCUUGAGGCCCAGUUUCUUGACUACUGGCGUCUUGGGCGUGGUGGUCGACACCUUCUUCUUCUUGGGCGCCGCCUUGGGCUUGGUCGCCGCCUUGGCCGACAAAGACGAAGAUGAGGAUGCGCCCGAUGACGACUUGGCCUUUUUCUUGGGCGCGCCGGCCGUUUUGGUCGACUCUGCGCUGGCCUUGCGCUUGGUCCCCGCCGCCACUCUCUUGGUUGUCGUCGCCUUUGCCGUUUUGCCAUCAGCGACGGCAGCCUUUUUCUUGGAGGCCGCUGCCUUGGUCUUUUUCUUGGAUGCCGCCGCUGUUGUUUCCGACGUCGAUUUGGCGGCCGCGGUCGAUUUGCGGGCCUUUUUCGCCGGCGGCUCUUGGUCGGCCGCGGGCUUGGACGCCGUGCGCUUGCGGGCCUUUUUCUUUUCGGCAAUGGCGCGCGCCUGGGCCGAGGCCACGCGCGCUUCGGCCUGCCCCGUUGCCGACGUCGCAUGGAUGAUCUCGUG
rnacentral:lncRNA from 1 species